rnacentral:lncRNA from 15 species
AUGAGGAAGAAAGCCUGGGUAAUAAAAGGCCGUAGACUUGCCAAGAAAAUGAUUGACAGCUGUGUGUUCUGCAGGAAAAACAAGGCAAAACAGUGUCAACAAAUCAUGGCUGACCUGCCUCUAGAGCCAACAGGCCCAGCUGCACCUUUUGAAUUCACCACCAUGGACCUGUUCGGCCCUUAUGAAGUGAAAGAUGAGGUCAAGAAGAGAACUAUACUCAGAGUAUGGGGAAUAGUCUUCUGCUGCAUGGCUUCCCGAGCCAUACACACUGAAGUGGUGAGUGACCUGUCAUCUGAAGGAUUCCUGCUAGCCUAUCAAAGGUUCACUUCACUGAGAGGACACCCCAGGAAACUCUGGUCAGACCCUGGCACUAACUUUGUGGGAGCCAGACCUGCUCUAGAAAAGCUUCACAAAUUCCUUGACCGACUAAACAAGUCUGAACUUGAAGACACAGCUGCCAAGCGUGGUACAGAAUGGUCGUGGAAGAUCCACCCUGCAGACUCUCCCCAUAGGAAUGGUGCAGCAGAGGCAGCUGUCAAAGUAGUGAAGCAGGCGUUGAGCAACCUUGGUGGAGAUGGUGUUUUCACAUGGGGAGAAUUCCAAACUUUUCUCUUCAUGGCAGCCAACCUUGCAAAUGAGAGACUCAUCGGUGCAAGAACUCAAAGCAGAGAAGACUGUGUAGAGUACAUCAGCCCGAAUUCUCUGCUUUUAGGACGUGCCAAUCCGAAGGGAGACCCUGGAGAUUUCCAGUUUGAUGGCUACCCUUACAAAAGACUUAAACAGAUUCAAGCAGAGUUAAGCAAUUUUCCUCCUCUGUUCAACCUGCCAAAGACGAUGAUGUUGCACUUCUACACCGUCAUCAUCGAGCAGGCUGAAGAGGCUGUGAGAUGGGUGGGUGGGGUCACCUGCAAUCCUGAUGGCUUUGCUGGUGAUGCAGGUGUUAUAAACGUCCAGGGGGGGGGGAGGGGGGGGGGGACACCAAUGAUCCUCUCAGCUGCUCUCACGAUGCGCUGCAAAGUCUUGCGGCAGGACACGGUGCAGGCGCCGUACCACACGGUGAUGCAGCUUGUCUAUAUACUCUCAAUGGUGCCAUCCCUCGCCACAGGUUCCUGGUGUCUCUGCUGUCAUUGA